UUUUUUAUGCUUUUGUUAAGCUUCUCACGCUUUACUGCCACUGCCGGGGACUCCUCCAACAUCCUCUCAAUUCCCCCACCGUAAGGUCCCAACAACUCAUUCACAAUCUCAGCUUCCAUCUCUUUGUUCACAAGGUUGAAAACAGACAGCUGCAAGUGCAAUGCCAUGCAGUCCACAAGCCUCCUCAAAACAACCUUCCAAUAAGCAAUCAUUCUCAUUUUAAGGUCAUAAGCUUGAGCUAACACAUGCGGGUACUUCCUCAGAACACCGACUUCCACUUCCCCGAUGCCUUCUAUAUCUAUGAUAGAAGGCUUCUUCUCAUCAGUUAAGACUCCAUGAAUGAAUUCGUUUUGACUAGCCAUCAGCUUGUUCCAUUCGGAAACAUAAUCACCAUCACAUGUAUAAUCUGUCAGCUUUUCCAUCUCUACAAGCUCCAGCAUCCACUUGAUUGACCUCUCCUUCAUCUUGGCCAUUAGACUAUGGCCGGCACGCCUUGCUGACAGCUGCAGCUGAUGAUAGUUAUCCGUAUAAUGCAUCAACACAGAAAUAACCACCUCUUCAAUGUAGUUCCACACUUUUUCCUCAAAUGCAAUCGGAAUACUCGAAAUUUCAUUCACUUUUGCCUGCAAGAUAAUGAGGAAAGCAUUGCGUGGAAGGAAGUUCGGAAGUGAAAUACCUUUGGCCUCCUCCAAGAUCCUGAUCUCCUCCAUCAAGAAGUUGCUCUUUGCAUCAGUUUCAGCACAUCUGUGAAGUUCAUCCGAGUACUGGUUGAGCAUCUCAACCAAUCUAGCAGUGCAGUGCAUGCGAUUGUCUUCCGCGUACUCCUGAAAUUCUCCUCUCAAAAGAAUCUUCCUAAGCGAUUCCUUAGCCAAGCCAGUGAUUUGCAUAAAAGCCGUCAUGGCCUCAGCAACCGAUGAAAGACUCUUUGGCAUUUUGUUCAGCUCCAUAAUGCAGAAGUUCAGCCUGUCAUUGAUCUUCUUCACUAUCUCAGGUAUAUUUCUUGCUAUGCUGUUUGCUUGAAUUUGGACCAGCUUCUGUGCUAAAACUGGAAUGCCGACAAUGGACUUGUCAAUCUUCGAAAGCAGAGGAUGGGUUUGAAAUAGUUCAUGAGCCAUCACCGCUGCCUCCUCAUCAGUUUCGUCACCAAUCCUGUUCCUUACACAGACAUAACCAAGACCAAUGUUUACAUCAUCUCCAGUGACCUUCUCAAGUAGUCCUUCCGGUGCCUUGUCCACUUUCGUAACCACAGCGAGCGUCCUCUCACCAGUUUUAUCUACACUUUGUGACAUCCGGAUUGACUCACACGUAGUAAAAUCCACCGUAGCAGACAAUACAUUCAGAAUAAUACUUUCCUCCGGCUUAAUAUACUCCAUGAUCAUAUCUUUGAUCUGAUCAUAGAUAUUUUCAGGUUGGCCAUGGACUGGAACCCUUGUGAUUCCCGGAAGAUCAACCAUAGUCAGAUCCGGAACCCCAUACUUCUUCACCAACAAAGUAAGUGGCGUGUUUGAAAUUCCCUUACCUCCCCCCGCAAUAGAAUUAGUAGCUUUCACAAUAUCUUUGGUGAUAUUUUCUUCAUCAGUACGAUCAACUCUGCCAUUGUACUCCAAGGAAAGUUCAGGCUGAGGACUCGAGUGGUGUUCGAGCCUCAUAAUAAGAGGCACUCUCGUGCAGAUGCCUUGGCCCCGAGGUAGGCUGAUGCCGGCCAAGGAUUCGAGCACGCUAGACUUCCCGGAUGACUGGUCUCCGACCACCACAAUCGUUGGCAGCUGAAUGCCUUCAUCCAUCACCUUCAAGCUGCGUAACUUGUCUACCGCAUCCAGAAGAGGGCGGAUCUUGUCGUUAUAGGACGACACAAUGGGUGCGCAUUUGAGGGGUACUGCGUCUAGUCCUGCCUGAACCAUUGCGAGGGAGCCUUCACCGUUUAUAACUGUGCGACUCGAUUCCAUUUUCCUUGGUCCUUGCGUUUCUGAAUUAUAGCAAGUCAAAACAAUGGUGAAAAAUCUAGAGGGAAACCGAGAUUGUAGAGAGAUGAGAGAGAAUUCGAAGAUGGAAAAUGUUCUGUAUUGGGUUUAUGACUUAAUGGAGUAAAAUGUUCUAUUUAUAGCUACUGCUAUAUAUCAUUCUUAGCCCUUAAGCAACUUAACUGACUCUCAAUCAACAAUAGCAACACAUCUAACAAAAAUGCUACUUUUCCGAUAUAUUUGUACCAUCAUUUGCUUACAUUGAUAAAUCGGACUCAUACUCAUAAGCUGACAUGGCAGCCACAUGACUUAAAAGUAAGAAGAUUACUUGUCAGCGAAGAUAUCAGUCAGGAAGAAGUGAGAAAGCUGGGUUUAGUAAGUGCCUUAGGCUUAAAGGCUCCUAGUUGUAUGUAUAAUUGUUCAGCAAAACCUAUCGAAGUAAAUGACAACCAGCCUUUUCAAAACCGCAUGCUGAGAGAGUUGUGAUUUGGACUUCCAAACGUUCAGCAAACCAAACCGCUUGCGAGCCUUUGAACUUCUAAACCCUAAUCAGUGUAAAUGUAAUAUGGACAGUUAACUGAUAACCAUUUUUUGUGCUUGAUGCUCUUGAACUUCAGUCAACCUUUAUAUAUUAUUCAUUCAAAUAAUCGAUGACUAGCUAGCCAAUGUAAGUUGUAACCCAACAGAGACGAGAUGUUGAAGAAAAUUAAAUAUUUUUUGUAAUUUGGUAAGACAAACAAAGGCACCCAUUGGAGAAAGGGAAGUGCUAGCAGCCUUUGCCCUAACAUUUGUGUUUGGACCUCUUCACUUUAACAACUAACAGGUAUCAUUUUCUAUACAAAAAAGCAAGAAUUUUAAAGCUUUUGUCUAGGAAUUAACGAUGAGAAAUAUAAAAUAUACAUUAUUAUGUCAUUCAUUAAAAUGAAAAUUUUCAAAUGCAAAAGUUAGUGCAAAAGUGUAUUUCUCUUAGAAAAAUUCAAUCUAACAACCAAAAUUAAAGUUAACAAAAAAAAGUAGAGAACUUAAUUCAUAUUGAAUCUACCCUUAUGAUCGUGCUCCAGAAAAAUUGAGAAGGAUGCAGGGUUUUUGAAUUUGGUAAAGCUUAAGGAUUAAGGUUGCUGUUUUUUUUUUUUUUUUUUUUUUUUUUUUUUUUUUUUGGAGAAAAGUGGAAGAGAAAGAGCCUUUGAAGAUUCCUUUCUGAGUUUUCACAUUGUGGGGAUUUUGUUUCACUUUUACCAUUGUAAGACCAUAGAUAAUGGAUGCUGACAUGGUUGGACAGAUGUCGAAUAGUGGUGUGGUAUGCCCAAUCGGUUUAGGUUGCUGAAAAUAGCAACUUUAACUAAAAAUAGUGCAGGACUUUAAAAGAGGAAGGGGAAAUAAGAGUUUGAGGAAAAAGAGGCAACUUUAAUUCAUCAUUUCAUAGGUUCUUUACGCUCUCCAUUAUUACAUAUUUAUGCUCCUCAUAAAAGAGAAAAUAGAGUUUUAACGAAAAGCCCGCGGUACUGUUCACUUUAAUGAAAAACCACAUUUUUACACUAAAAAGUCAAAUCUGGUACUAUUCAUAUUACUCUUUAUUUUGUUCUUAUCGUUAAAAUUCAAAGUUUUAAAGCAUUUUUCAUUAGUUUUCCUAAGAGAACAACCCUAGCUACUUGGACAUAAAAAAAAAGGCUAGUACGGGCAAGUUGCAAGAGGAGAAGUAGUGGGCUCAAGUAAAUGGGCUUAAUAACUCCCCCCUCUCCUUGAGAAUAGGCCUGACCUUAGGUCAAGAAAUCGAGGUAACGGGCCAAGAUGUCGUCAGCUUCCUCCCAGGUGACAUCUUCAGUGGGUAGGCCAACCCACUUGAUCAACCAUUUUGUCGCAGCUUUAUUUUUUUUUCUUGAAUAUGCCCUUGUCUAAAACUCUUUCUGGUUGCCAGUGUAGAACCCCAGUGGAGUCGAUAGGAGGCAAAACUGACAGUGGAGGAGAAAUACUACCAAUCUUUUGUUUAAGGAGAGACACAUGAAAGACGGGGUGGAUUUUGGAGUCUAAAGGCAAACGAAGCUGAUAUGCUACGAAACUGAUGCGCUUAGUUAUCUGAAAAGGUCCAUAGAACUUGGGUGCCAGCUUGUUUGUUGUUCUAGUAGCCACUGAUUGUUAGCGGUAUGGUUAAAGCUUCAGGUAAACCCAGUCACCAACAUUAAAUUCCCGCUCAGUUCUCUUGUUAUCAUAGACUUGUCUCAUUUUGUUCUCUGCAAGCUGCAAAUUUGUUCUCAUAAGACAGAUUAAUUUGUCCUUAUCCUGUAUUGCAGCAUCAAUUGAGUGUACCGUCGUGGAGCCGAGCAUAUACAUGCAAAGGUGGUUCAAUGUCAUAAACAGCCUGAUAUAGAGACAUUUUGAUGGAAGAUUGGAAGCUUGUAUUAUACCACCAUCUAGCCCAGGGAAUGAGAGAAGACCAAUUGGUGGGUUUGUCUAUUGAGAAACAUCGAAGAAAAUGUUCCAAUGUGCAGUUAAGGACUUUCAUUUGCCUAUUCGUUUGAGGGUGGUAACCUAAACUUAGGCAAAGUUUGUUGCCUUGGAGUUUAAAGAACUCUUGCCAAAAGUUACUAAGAAAAUUGGGUCGCGAUCUGAAACGAUCUAUUUUGGCAUACCAUGGAGUCAGAAAACCUCAUUGCUGAAAGUAUCAGCUACAAAGGCAACUGUGUAUGGGUGCUUUAAUGGGAUAAAGUGGCCAUACUUUGAUAGGCGAUUGAUGACAACUAGGAUCACGGUGUACGCGUUGGAAAAUGGGAGCCCUUUGACAAAAUCAAGAGUGAUGUCCUGUCAUAUGCCAGUGGGGAUGAGCAAGGGAUGCAGUAACCUAGGAGGGUGUUUUGUAUGCAUUAAGCCACAAUUUUUUUUUGUUUCCUUUCGAAUUCCCGGCCAUAAAACUUUUUUGGAGAGUCUUUUGUAUGUUCAAAGGAAGCCCAAGUGACCAUCUUAGAGAGAUGCAUGGAAUUCAUCCAAGAGUUUAGGUUGCCAUUGGGAUGUGAGUAGUGGGACAAAGAUCUGUUGCUUGUAGUGCAACACAUCAUUUAUAAUUGAGAACCCUUUGAUUGAAGUGUUGGGUAUUGGAACUAAAAGAUUCCAAACCUUUUGCACUUCUAGAUCCUAUGCAUAAGACUGUUGCAACUGAGGAAUGCAAUCAAAUAUAGGGGUAGAGAGGCCUAUUAAGAGCAAAAGUUCUUGUUGGCAGGAGAUAGCAUAUGGAGCACUGUUUUGAGAACCCGACCUAUACUCGACCGAGUAGUUGUACCCCAACAAUUUCACCAGCCAUUUUUAAUUUUUUUCACAAAAACUGUAAGUUAUAACUCACGUUUUCCAAUCGAUUUUAAGAACUUUUACAAGAUUCAUUAUAAGCCAAAAUUUGAGUCGUUUUAGUCGCACCACAUGUUUUCUAAAAUUAAUUUAGGACAUCCCAAAUAUUUUUCAACACCUACAAAUUUCUUUGGUGGCUUCACUAUUAGUUUAUACUAUUUUUCUAACUCAUAGUAACAACGAAAAAAUUUCUCAGCAUGACCAAAAUGAUUGAUGGUGCAUCAGAGACUACUUUUAUCGAUUUCAAAUUUGAAGGACUAAAGUAAGGAGUUAUGCCAGAAAGUGGCCCUCUACCACAGUGGUGGAGAGGAGUAUUGGCCUUACACUACGACAGAGCUUCGAACCAUGACGGCUCCCUAAUCUAACAUCUAAUUAAAAAAUCUAUUGUUUGACGAAGAAAAAAAAGUAAGGAGUUAUGUCAAUUUCAAAAUCCGUUUUGGCCCCUUUUUAACAUGGAUGGAGGGUUUCAAAUUCCUUGUUACUACCUUUUAGGGGUUUUAUUAAAUUUUAUGAAUUUUUUUGUUGGUAUAUUUGAGCGUGUCUUUAAAAUGAUUAAAAUUGUUUUAAUAUAAUAAAAUAAAAAGUGUUUAUGACAACAUUUUGACCAAAAAAAGGACUUUAUGGAGAGGUCUAUGAGCAAAAUGCAACUCUUACUACCUAUUUGUACUAUAAUUUGUACCACUAAUAAAGAUGAGACUCACAUGCGUUGGCGAGCCUUACCUCUAUUAGAGAUAUAGUAGAAAUAUAUGGUAAAUGUAGCAUUACUCGUCUAUGAGUGUUUUCAACGGAGUACAAUUCUCUGUCAUCCUAUUCCUAGUGUGGUUUAGUCCAUACUAAGUGUAUGGAUUCUAACAAACGAUCAAUUAAAACAUGAAAUCUAAUAUGGACAUUUAAUUAAAUGUUUAUUAAUAUUUACGGUGCGGUUCGGUUUCGGUGUAGUUUUCAAAAGCCAAAACCGAAACCAAACCGUUUUCUAUGUUGCGGUUCGGUUUCAAAACCGAAACCGUUUCAAAACCGCAAAACCAAACCAUUCGGUGCGGUUUGAUUUGGUUCGUGUUUUGGUUUCGGUUUUCGGUUCUAAGUGCCAAUCCCUAGGAGAGCGUGUCCCUUUUUUUUGAAAAAUAUGGAUCAUUUCCCUUAAGCUCCUCCUACACACACACACACACACACACACACACACACACACACAUAUAUAUAUUAAAAUGAUAACCUUUCUUGGAUAGAACUGAGCAUAUAAACAUGCAAAGGUAAUGUUAGAGAGACCAAAGUUUUAAACAAAAUAAUGUGUUACCAAUAAAAAAUAAGCACGUUAAUCAACGCUAAAGUAAUAAUUCAAUUAUCAAUAAGCACAUCAUUUGGUUUGUAAAUUUGAUUUAAAAAAUUUGGUCUCCCUAACAUUAUCCAACCUGCAAACAAGUUUAAUUAUCUUAGACAAGCAACAUUAUUUACAUAUUUACUUUCAGGCAAUUACAAAUUUGACGUCGAAAAGAAGAUUUAAGGAAAAUGGUUUUCUUAUUAAUUAGGAUUUUUACAAUGCGUGUCGCAUUCUUUACCUAAAGUUUUUAUGUCUGUCAGAUUGGUUAUGAAAGCUCACUGUCAUAUUAAUAAACGGUAUUAUAAGCAGAAAACAUGAGACAAAAAAUAGGAGUUAAACUGUAUGUAAGAGGAAAUCGCACUUAAAUUUCAUUAAUAACAGUAAACUUGACAAGGAUUACCACAAUCAUACGACUACGGACUAUUACACAACAAGAACACAAGGGAAACAAAAGAACUUAAAAACAAAAGUUGACUAACAAACAACCACCCACAUCAGACAACAGAAAGCUAAUUGCCAAGUUAGUUAAUCACCAUAAGUGAUAAUGCUGUCCAUAAUCUUGGCCACCACCUCCUUCGAAUCCCUCAGUUUUUUUAUGCUUUUGUUAAGCUUCUCACGCUUUACUGCCACUGCCGGGGACUCCUCCAACAUCCUCUCAAUUCCCCCACCGUAAGGUCCCAUCAACUCAUUCACAAUCUCAGGCUCCAUCUCUUUGUUCACAAGGUUGAAAACAGACAGCUGCAAGUGCAAUGCCAUGGAGUCCACAAGCCUCCUCAAAACAACCUUCCAAUAAGCAAUCAUUCUCAUUUUAAGGUCAUAAGCUUGAGCUAACACAUGCGGGUACAUCCUCAGAACACCGACUUCCACUUCCCCGAUGCCUUCUAUAGUUAUGAUAGAAGGUUUAUACUCGUCAGUUAAGACUUCAUGAAUGAAUUGAUUUUGACUAGCCAUCAACUUCUUCCAUUCGGAAACAUAAUCAUCAUCACAUGUAUAAUCCGUUAGCUUUUCCAUCUCUACAAGCUCCAGCAUCCACUUGAUUGACCUUUCCUUCAUCUUGGCCAUUAGAUUAUGGCCGGCACGCCUGGCUGACAGCUGCAACUGAUGAUAGUUCUCCGUAUAAUGCAUCAACACAGAAAUAACCACCUCUUCAAUGUAGCUCCACACUUUUUCCUCAAAUGCUAUCGGAAUACUCGAAAUUUCAUUCACUUUUCCUUGCAAGAUAAUGAGGAAAGCAUUGCGUGGAAGGAAGUUCGGAAGUGAAAUACCUUUGGCCUCCUCCAAGAUCUUGAUCCCCUCCAUCAAGAAGUUGCUCUUUGCACCAGUUUCAGCACAUAUGUGAAGUUCAUCCGAGUACUGUUUGAGCAUCUCAACCAAUCUAGCAGUGCAGUGCAUGCGAUUGUCGUCCGCAUAGUCCUCAAAUUCUCCUCUCAAAAAAAUCUUCCUAAGCGAUUCCUUAGCCAAGCCAAUGAUUUGCAUAAAGGCUGUCAUUGCCUCGGCAACAGAUGAAAGACUCUUUGGCAUUUUGUUCAGCUCCAUAAUGCAGAAGUUCAGCCUGUCAUUGAUCUUCUUCACUAUAUCGGGUAUAUUUCUUGCUAUGCUGUUUGCUUGAAUUUGGACCAGCUUCUGUGCUAAAACUGGAAUACCGACAAUGGACUUGUCAAUCUUCGAAAGCAGGGGAUGGGUUUGAAAUAGUUCAUGAGCCAUCGCCGCUGCCUCCUCAUAAGUUUCGUCACCAAUCCUGUUCCUUACACAGACAUAACCAAGACCAAUGUUUACAUCAUCUCCAGUGACCUUCUCAAGUAGUCCUUCCGGUGCCUUGUCCACUUUCGUAACCACAGCGAGCGUCCUCUCACCAGUUUUAUCUACACUUUGUGACAUCCGAAUUGACUCACACGUAGUAAAAUCCACCGUAGCAGACAACACAUUCAGAAUAAUACUUUCUUCCGGCUUAAUAUACUCCAUGAUCAUAUCUUUGAUCUGAUCAUAAAUAUUUUCAGGUUGGCCAUGGACCGGAACCCUUGUGAUUCCCGGAAGAUCAACCAUAGUCAGAUCCGGAACCCCAUUCUUCUUCACCAACAAAGUAAGUGGCGUGUUCGAAAUUCCCUUACCUCCUCCCGCAAUAGAAAUAGUAGCUUUCACAAUGUCUUUGGCGAUAUUGUCUUCAUCAGUACGAUCAACUCUGCCAUUGUACUCCAGGGAAAGUUCAGGCUGAGGACUCGAGUGGUGUUCCAGCCUCAUAAUAAGAGGCACUCUCGUGCAGAUGCCUUGGCCCCGAGGGAGGCUGAUGCCGGCCAAGGAUUCGAGCACGCUGGACUUCCCCGAUGACUGGUCUCCGACCACCACAAUCGUUGGCAGCUGAAUGCCUUCAUCCAUCACCAUCAAGCUGCGUAACUUGUCUACCGCAUCCAGAAGAGGGCGGAUCUUGUCGUUGUAGGAUGACACAAUGGGUGCGCAUUUGAGAGGUACUGCGUCUAGUUCUGCCUGAACCAUGGCGAGGGAGCCUUCACCGUUUAAAUCUGUGCAACUCGAUUCCAUUUGCCUUGGUCCUUCCGUUUCUGAAUUAUAGCAAGUGAAAAUAAUGGUGAAAAUUCUAGAGAGAAACCGAGAUAAUUUCAAGCUUAAUUAGCUAAAGAAUUGAGGUUCUCUGGCAGUUUACCCUCCAGUUUAUAACAUUUUUUUACUAAGAAUGUUUUCAGGUAAGGGAAAACACCACUUUCGUGAUCCAGUAGGAAACGGAGCCUUUCUUUCAACCGCUGCAUUUCCACAAACUCAAGAGACUCUAAUACCCGAAAAGGCAAGUUACGCUCUCCUUAAAACUCAGCACCAAUUCGAAGAUGGAGUAAAAUGUUCUGUAUUGAGUUUGUGACUUAGUGGAGUAAAAUGUCCUAUUUAUAGUGAUGCAGUACAAGACUCUCAUGCAUGUAUUGGAAUCUACCAAGAGUUGGAACCAUCAAAUAUAUUUAAUGGAGUUUUAGAGCAACACAACUAAUUAAGUAGUCAUUUAAGACCAUUUUAAAUAUUUUGGGUAGAGCAAAAGUCCAAUUCGGACUAGAGUUUCAUUGUGUUGUAUUCCUUAUAAAUAUAUGUACUAAUUGUAUUCCUUAAAUGACUACUUAAUUAGUUGUGUUGCUCUAAAACUCCAUUAAAUAUAUUUGAUGGUUCCAACUCUUGGUAGAUUCCAAUACAUGCAUGAGAGUCUUGAUUACUACAUCAUUUAGCUACUGCUAUGUGUCAUUCUUAGCCUUCAAGCAGCUUAACUGACUCUCAGUCAACAAUAACAACACAUCCAACAGCUUAAGGAUUGCUGUUUUUAGUGGAGAAAUGUGGAAGAGAAAGAGCCUUUGAAGAUUCCUUUAUGAGUUUGCACAUUGUGGGAGAUUUUGUUUCACUUUUACCAUUGUCAGGCCAUAAUCAUGGAUGUUGACAUGGUUGGACAGAUGUCGAAUGAUGGUGUCAUUGGGCCCCCACCAUCAAAGAAAAAGCAGUCCCCAUGGGGCAUCUAAGCGGAAAGAGAAUCCAUUAUAGUAUAAAGAUUUAGCAUUCACACUCAUAGCUUCGACAUCAAUCAUUUUCUUCCUUGCCGAUGUUCUUUAUAUUUUGCUUUCUUUAUUUCUUGAUAAGUUGUUUCUGGAUGAUAUUUUUUUAGAAUCUCUUGGAUGUCGUAUGCGUGCUACGUCACUCGUUUGUAUCAAAACACGCAUAAACAUUAUUUCUUUCAAUCGAGAUUUAAAAUUAAAAGUCUACAUACACUUUUUUGUUGUAAUUUGACUGAUGGACCAUAAUGUUGGAUUGUGAACUACCUUAGUACAUAUGUGUAGAAGUGUGGCAGGUGACGUAAGCAUAAAUAAUCAUUUUAACAUGCAUGUUAGCAAAAUGUUAAAUUGUGUUUAAUCAUAUUAAAUUAAUUUAUGUAUUGGUUUUGUUCAGGUAUAAUAAAAUUAAAAACACAUGUAUAAACUUAGUGUAAGUUUUAGGAUUCUCACCUUUAGAUUUCAUAGGUGGACAAAUUCAAUGUUGUUAAAGAUCCCAAGUGUUAGCCCUCAACUAGUGUCUACACGAAUAAAUAUCUGGCUAGUGAAGCAAAAAAACGACAAUUUGCUAGAACUUUAUCCAUCAGGUAGGUGUUGCCAUAAAGGGAUUUGGUAUGGUGUUUUGUUUUUCAAUUCUCUAAAUUGGAAAACCUAUUUCUUUUCUCUCUAAUAUCUAUUUGCGAUUAUUGAAUUCUCACACUAUGUUACAUAGACCCCUUAGGCUUAUAAAAAGAACAAUCUGUAAUUAAGCCAAUUGUGUGUUGCACGCCCUAGGGAAAUUUUUUAGAAACUUUUGGGUUCACUAGUCUGUAUCACGUCACUCGCUUGUCUCAAGAAGAGAUCCUUUCACAUCACCAGUUUACCACACUAAAAUUUUGAAUUUAUUAGAUGGAUAAUACAAUUUGUUUAAUAAAUGACCAACUUUACAAAUAUUUUUGUGAAGUGAUUUCACACAUAUUUUUUAGCUUUUACACACCCAUGUUUAAUUUUAGAUGUUGAUUCCGUUUGAUUUAUUUAAUCUGGUGGCCAUAAAUAAAGAGAGGUACGUGGAAAACUAAAAAUGGUGUGUGAAAAUCCUUGACACUACUAAGCAUGAAUUUUAGUAAGAUGAAAAAAGACCUUCGCUUGAUACCCGUGGGAGGACGUGACAUGACUUCCUUUAUUGAAGGAUGAGGAAUGCUAAUGUGACUUUCAAAAGUAGGACUUUCUAAUGACUCUCUGCCACCUCAUAGCUAGUUUAAUGUCAAUUCAUUCACGUGCCAACAUUAUAACACAAAUGCUAGGAAGGCUACAUUUAUAGACAAAAUUUGUAUACUAAAUGACAUGAAAGUUGAUGAUUAUAUUAUUAUUUAAGCGUUGAUAAACGUGCUCAUUUUCUAUUGGUAACAAGUCAUUUAGUUUUCAAAUUUUGUCUACAAAUUUAGUCUCCAUAGCAUUACCUGCAUUAUAAAGUAUUGUGCCAAAUAUAUGAGCUGACAAAGAGUCCAUAGAGAGUCUCAAUUUUGAGUCUCAUUAGCAUUUAUCUUCAAGAAUUUAUCCACAUUCUCCUCACGUAAUAAUUUCACCAAAAAUGUUUUCUAAAUGCUCACUUAUCAAGAUUAAACCCCCGUUUGGUAUUUUAUUUUUUGGGUAAAAGACUGUUUACUACCCUCAUGUUUCGUGGUUUUCAACAUUUAGUACAUCAUGUUUUUUUCGUCUCAGAGUCAUACCUAAAGUGUAAAUUUUGGGACAGUCUCAUACAUCCGUUAGUCAAACUGUUAAGUUUUUCGUUAACUGUGACGUGGCGCACUGACUGGGCGCCACGUGUCAUCCACGUUUUUUUUUUUUCUUUUUCUUUUUUCUUUCUUUUCUUUUCUUCUUCUUCCUUCUUCUUCUUCUUCCUCCGACUGCAACUUUUUUUUUUUUUUUUGCUUCUUCCUUUUCCUUCUUCCUUCCUUCCUCCUUCCUUUCCCUUUCUUCCCCUUCUUCCUUCUUCUUCCUUCUUCUUCCUCCGAAAUCUGGGGAAUGUUUUUUUUUUUCUUUCUUCUUCUUCCUCCUUCCUUCCCCUUCUUCCUUCUUCUUCUUUCUCCUUCUUCUUCUUCUUCUUCUUCCUCCGAAAUCUGGGGAAGUUUGUUUUUUUUUUUCUUUCUUUCUUCUUCUUCCUCCUUCUUCUUCUUCUUCUUCUUCCUCAAAAAAAAAAAAAAAAAAACACUUUUAUCUUUUCUUCCUCUUCUUCUUCUUCUUCUUCUUCUUUCUCUUUCCUCCUUCCUUCUUCUCCUUCUUCUUCUUCUUCUUCUUCUUCCUCCGAAUCUGCCCAGAUUCAAUUUUUUUUUUCUUCCUCCUUCUUCUCCUUCUUCUUCUUCUUCCUCCGAAUUUGGGGGAAGAUGAAAGUGUUUUUUUUUUUUUGAGGAAGAAGAAGAAGAAGAAGAAGAAAGAAAGAAAAAAAAAAAAAACAUUCCCCAGAUUUCGGAGGAAGAAGAAGGAAGAAGAAGGAAGAAGGGGAAGAAAGGGAAAGGAAGGAGGAAGGAAGGAAGAAGCAAAAGGAAGAAGCAAAAAAAAAAAAAAAAAAACAAAAACAGAAAGUUGCAGUCGGAGGAAGAAGAAGAAGAAGGAAGAAGAAGAAAAGAAAAGAAAAAAAAAAGAAAAAAAAAAACGUGGAUGACACGUGGCGCCCAAUCAGUGCGCCACGUCACAGUUAACGAAAAACUUAACAGUUUGACUAACGGAUGUAUGAGACUGUCCCAAAAUUUACACUUUAGGUAUGACUCUGAGACGAAAAAAACUUGAUGUACUAAAUGUUGAAAACCACGAAACAUUAGAGUAGUAAACAGUCUUUUACCCUUAUUUUUUUCAACAAAAGUUGCUUCACUUUAAAGUUAAGCAGUAAGAAUGUGUUUGGUAAAAAUAAAUUAUUUUGCUUAUAUUAAAAGUAAUGCAUGUCCUCCAGACAGCAACUUUUAAAAGCAGCAUGUAGGUAAAGCUGUUUUUAAUAAAAAGCAGAAUUGAGCUUUCAAUGAAUAUUUUUAAUUCCUGUAAUAUGCUCAAUAAUUUUAGAAAAUAACAUUAUUUAUUCUUGUAGGCACAUUUUAUCAUUGGAGAACAAAGUGACCACCACUAUAAACCCUAACCUCUUACACUACCAUUGCCAUGAUCACCACCAUUGUUGCCACCACCACCACACUACAAUUGCGCCACCACCACUACAACCAUACACACCACCGCUACCUUUGCCAUCAUUACCACCACACCGCCGCCGCCGCCGCCACCACCACCAUAAACACAACUGCCACCAUCAAUGUUGUUGCCACCCCUACGACCAAUGUUGCCUCUGCAGCCCAACCACCACCACCAUCCCAACCCUUACCCUUAUCACUGUUGUCGUCGUCACCACCAACAUUGUUACGUCUAUUUUUGUCAUUAUAUACAAUUAUAAAUUAUCAAACGCUUUUACGCCGUUUUUCAUACUCAACACUUUUAAAAAUACAAUUCAUCUAACACUCAACUGCUUUAUUUUGUAGCAGAUUAUUCUUAAAGCACAUCAGAAGCACUUUUUUUUAAAGCACAUCAAUCUCAAAAUGGCCGUAAGAUUAUGAGUUUUUCAAUUGAGAUAAAUAUAUAAUUUAUUUGACCAAAACGAUUUUAAAUUAUUUGUAAUAAGAUCACGCGAAAGAAGAACAUAAACGUUACACAUGAAAUUAAACCAAAGCAAAUGAUUUUCUUGGGUUUUAACACCCAUAUAUUUUUUGUUGGUUUAUCAUUUUCACCGAGCUCCACCUCAUUUAUACUUAAAGAAAUGUAUUAUGUUCCGAUCCAGAAACCAAGCUCCACCUCAUCAAUACUUGGAUAAUUUGAUGCAUUACUUUUGUUUCCUUUCUCAAUUUGGAGGCCCAAACAAGAAACAAAGCUACACUAGACAAAGACAACUGCUGUAUAGUGGGUGUUUUAGAAACUUAAAGGAAAGAAACUCAAAAGCUUCAAUUUGUUUGUCGUGCUCCUUUAACUUCCUCUUUUACUGUUAUACAAGCGAAAACAAGAGAGAUUUAAUGAGUAAAGGGAUACUUUACGCCUUGAUAUACAAGUUUAUUGUCAUGAUCUAGCAAGGUUUCUUCUAAGGAUCUUGGCUUUCUUUGUCUAUAAAGAAGUUGGGUUUUUGGUUGUUUAAUUAAUUUCUACUAGAAUUGCAAGAUAAAAAGGGAUACAAACACUACAAGAAAGCCGGGCUUAUGUGACGACAGAUAUUCGUCAUAGAAAAUAAAAAUGCGUCACAUUUGAUAAUAUGUGACGCCUUUACAGCGUCACUGCGAACGUCACCUAUGAUGCGUCACGGAAAGUAUAAGUGACUAAUUUUAAAAGCGCCACAUAUUUGUAGUAUAUGUGACACUGUUUUCGUCAAUUAAUAGGAGAUUGUGACGGAUUAGGCGUCACAAAAGAAUAAAUUAUGUGACCUAUAUAAUUCGUAAUGUAUGAAAUAGAUAAGUGACACUGAAGGCGUCACAUUUUUCUUCCAUUUGUGGCAUAGCUUGGGUCACUUAUGUCAAAAUAAAAUAUCUAUUUUGAAAAUAUAUGUGACAAACCAAUACAAUUCCCUAUUUAUAAUAUGAUGUUACAAUUCCUUGUUUAUAAAAAAGAAUCAAUUAUGUGACCUAUAUAAUUCGUCACUUAUGAAAUAGAUAACUAACACUGAAAGCGUCACAUUUUUCUUCCAUUUAUGGCACAGCCUGGAUCACUUAUGUCAAAAUAAAAUAUCUAUUUUGGAAAUAUAUGUGACAAACCAAUACAUAUUCCCUGUUUAUAAUCUGAUAUUACAAUUCAUUGUUUAUAAAAAAGAAUAAAUUACAUGACCUAUAUAAUUUGUCACUUAUGAAAUAGAUAAGUGACGCUGAAAGUGUCACAUUUUUCUUCCAUUUGUGGCGUAGCCUGGGUCAUUUAUGUCAAAAUAAAAUACCUAUUUUGGAAAUAUAUGUGAUAGACCAAUACAUAUUCCCUGUUUAUAAAGGAUCAAGGGACAAACAUUUUGACAAACAUAUAUAUAUAUAUAUAUAUAAUAUAUAUAUGUUUUUUUUUUUAAGAUGAUAACAUUUCCUGAAUAAAACUGAGAAGAUAUAUAAACCGGCAAGCAAGUUUAUUUAUCUUAAGAAAGUAACAGUAUUUCCAUAUUCACUUUCAGGUUAUUACAACUUUGACGUCGAAAAAAUAAGAACAUUUAGGGAAGAUGUUUUUCUCAUAAGUUAGGGUUUCUUCAAUGUUUGUCGGUUUCUUUACCUAAGUAAGUUUUUAUCUGUCAAAUUAGUUACGAAGGCUUACUGUCAAAUUGAAUGAAAGGUAAUGAAAGCAGAAAAUAGAAAACAAAAUAUCGGAGUUGACUAUUGGUAGGAUGAAUUUGAGUUAAAUUUCUUUGAAAACUUUAAAAUUGACAAGGAUUACCAAAACUAUACAAUUACCACAUAACAAGAACACAAAGGAAACUACGAGCUUGUUUGGUAUCCUAUUUGAAAAUUAUUGUCAUUUCUCAAAACAUUUCUUGAAAACAAUUUUCUUUAAGACUAAAAAACUUGACUGGUUUGCGAUUUACAAUUUUUAAAUCUUACAACUAAAAUUAGGCAAAGAGAUCUAAAAAGAGGGGAUCGUAGGAGAGGGAGAAAGAGGAGAGAAGAGGAAAGAAAGCAAGAGAUGAUUGAAGAAAAGAGAAAGAAGAGAGAGAAUCGAACAAAAGAGAGAGGAAGAGGAGUGAGAGAAAGAACAUAGAGAAUGAAAAGAGCAGAUUGAAAGAGAGACGAAACAUGUAAAAAAAUAAAAAUAAAGAGGAGAGAGAGAGAGAAGAAAAGAGAGAGAUUUGGAGUGAGAGGGGAGAAGGGAGAGAAGAAAAAAAAGUGUGAGUUUAAGUUUAAAAACUCUAAAAACUCACUUUUUAUGUUUUUAGAUAAUAGACUAUAUUUUUGAGUUAGUCUUGAGUUUAGUUUUUUAAGUAGUCUUACCAAAGACUAAAACUUGAAAAUUGUUUUUGAGUUUAAAAAAUUGGAUUCAAGGAAAGUAUCAAACAGACGCUAAAAAACUUGAAACAAAAGUUUACAAACAAACAACCAACGACAUAAGGAAAACAGACUGCAUACUUUUAUUUACACCAUUUUGUAGUACCCUCAAAACUAAUUGGCAAGUUAUUUAAUUACCAUAAGUGAUAAUGCUGUCCAUAAUCUUGGCCACUACCUCCUUAGAAUCCCUAAGCUUUUUUAUGCUUUUGUUAAGCUUCUCACGCUUUACUGCCAUUGCCGGCGACUCCUCCAACAUCCUCUCGAUUCCCCCAUCGUAAUGUCCCAUCAACUCAUUCAUAAUCUCAGCUUCCAUCUCUUUGUUCACAAGGUUAAAAACAGACAGCUGCAAGUGCAAUGCCAUGAAGUCCACAAACCUCCUCAAAACAACCUUCCAAUAGGCAGUCAUUCUCAUUUUAAGGUCAUAAGCUUGAGCUAAAACAUGCGGUUACUUCCUCAGAACACCGACUUCAACUUCCCCGAUGCCUUCUAUAGCUAUGAUAGAAGGUUUAUUCUCGUCAGUUAAGACUCCAUGAAUGAAAACAUUUUGACUAGCCAUCAACUUGUUCCAUUCGGAAACAUAAUCAGCAUUGCAUGUAUAAUCUGUCAGCUUUUCCAUCUCUACAAGCUCCAGCAUCCACUUUGACACGCCCUGAUCCGGAUGUCCUGGAGACAUCGGGAUAGUCACGUGCUGGCCGACACCCGAGGGGUGACGAAAGCCAUUUAAAAGGCAUAAGAACGAGAAAUAUGAAUUUAAUAUAACAUUUAAUAGGCAUUUAAGGAACGUGUUCAGAGCAUAUAACUAAUUAGAAUACUAGGAAAAAAAUGAUAUAAAAAUUGAAUAAACAAAAGGAGUGGGUCCUACACCGAGAGGACUCGAAGAUGCCAAUGUAGAAGUGUCUUGACGCCGGGAUUGUAUGCCUCGAUUCUAAGCCCUGAAGGGGGCGCAAAACAAAGGUGAGUGGACCAGUUUGAUAUACAUAUAAUAAAACAGUUAUCAACAUACUAACCCCCUGAUUUUUAUGAAAACACAUAUAUGUAUCAUGAUAAACAUAAGUUUUCCGAAACCUAGAAUGUCGUGCAAUAUCUCAAAUCAUAACUCGCAAAACAUAAUAAACACUAGUGUCAAAUGUCCACAUAUAUCCAUCCAGGCCCUAUGUCAUCUCCCCAUCCCUGAGCAUACAGUCAAAGAAAAUAUGACUUCAGGCCCUAUGCUAGCUCCACUGUCCCUGUUCUAAAUAGUCAGAGGGAAAUACACUCCAGGCCCUAUGCCAACUCCACCGUCGCCCGGGAUGGACCGAAAUCUAUCCCUACAUCCCGUAGCGGAAAUUGGGACAGCUAGGUAAUACAGAAUCAUCGCACAUAUAUUUAUUCAAAAGUAACAUCAUAUAUCAUUCUUAUAAACUCAUGCUUUUUAUGCGUGCAAUUCUACUAAUAAAGCAUGUAUUUUAGAAGGGGUCCACUCACAGUACUUCACCGUCGAAAGCCGCGCUGCUAACAAAGAUAGAAACGCCACAAUAAUUGCCCCUAAGCACAUAAACGUUCCAAUUAAUAAAUCUUUAUUAAAACAAUUGAAUUUGAGAAAACGGACGUCGAAAACGGAUUCAAGACGUUGAAUUACCUUAAGAAGGGUCCUGGAUAAAUUUCGUAAACGUCAAUAGAAUAUUCCACAUCAAGAGUUUGGGCCGGCUAGGGUUUAAGGGUUUAGUGCUUAAGGCCCUAGGUUAAAAAGGUUUGGGUUAGACUUUUAAAAAGGUUAGGCUUAGGUUAAAUAGGUUUAGGGCUUAGGAAGUUGGGUUGGGUCCUUAAGGGUUUUGGGUUUCUAGGUUAAAGGGUUAGGAAAUUGGGUUGAUAAAAAGGGCCUAGGGUAAAUAAUUGGGUUUGGGCUUAAAAGGGUCACGGAUUGGGCUGGAGACCCGUGGGUUUUGGGCUGGUUUCAAAGGACUUGGGUCGAGUUGAUUCGUUUUCAGGCCAAUGAAAUGGUCGAUUUCUGGGUAUCACUUCGAACGCCCAUAACUUCUUCGUUACUCAUCCAAAAUAAGUAAUCCAAACAUGAAAGUUGUAGUACUCGACGAGAUGAAGAGAUUGAUACCCUGCACUCCGCCAAACUCUCCGUGGUUUGGCCGGAAAACACCUCGAAAGGGGCGGUGCUCGUCGGAAAACUGGGUUUUUUGGCCGAAUGUUUGGGUAAUUUUCAAAGCUUUGUAACUUCUUCGUUUCUUAACCACAUUGAGUGAUUCAAAAUCUAAAAUGUAGUUAGGAAUGUGGAGAAGAGGUUCAUACCAAGUGAGGACCGAGUGGUUACCGGAGUUCACCGAAAAACGACCUGAAAAAUCAUAGCAAAAGACAGCAUAGUGAAAGAGGCUUGAGUUGUAGUGCUAGUUGCUGGAGUCGAAGAAGGGGUUGUGGUAGUGAGAGUAGAAAGAAACGGAGCGGAGGGAGUUGGGAAAGAUUGUGAGGUCGGUUUUGAGGUGGCAUUGGAGAAACUAGUGGAGAAACCAAAAGAGGAUUGCAAAGCGGAGGAAGCCAGAGUUCCGAAGGAAGAGAAUCUGGAAACGGUUAUUGAUGGGGGAGCAGCGGUGGUGGGAGCAGAGGUUGUGGGUUUCAAAAGAGAGGAGGAUGUUGGUAAUGUGAAAGCUGAAAAGGAAGUGGAGAAGCUUUGGAACCAUUGGGUGGUUAGAGCUAUAGAGGAUGACGGUUGGGACGAGGAAGUUGUGCCAGACAGCGGCGAGGGUACGCUGGGUGCAUAGGACGUUGUGCCAAACAAGUGCGAAGCGGAAGUUGAGGGGUUCCAAACAGGGGUGUGGGUGCGCUGGGUGCAAAUGAGGUUGCUCUGAAUGGGGAUGAAGUGGCGAAAGAAGGAGCGCCGAAUAGAAGGGACCAUUGGGUGGUUUGACCUAUAGAGGAUGAAGGUUGGGACGAGGAACUUGUACCAAACAGCGGCGAGGGAGCGCUGGGUGCAUAGGACGUUGUGCUAGACAACUGCGAAGCCAAAGUGGAGGAGGUUCCAAACAGGGGUGUGGGUGCGCUGAGUGCAAAUGAGGUUGCUUCGAAUGGGGAUGAAGUGGCGGAAGAAUGAGCUCUGAAUAGAGGGGACCAUUGGGUGGUUGGAGCUACAAAGGAUGAAGGUUGGGACGAGGAAGUUGUGCCAGACAGCGGCGAGGGUGCGCUGGGUGCAUAGGACGUUGUGCCAAACAACUGCGAAGCAGAAGUGGAGGGGGUUCCAAACAGGGGUGUGGGUGCGCUGGGUGCAAAUGAGGUUGCUCUGAAUGGGGAUGAAGUGGCGGAAGAAUGAGCUCCGAAUAGAAGGGACCAUUGGGUGGUUGGAGCUACAGAGGAUGAAGGUUGGGAUGAGGAACAUGUGCCAAACAACGGUGAGGGAGCGCUGGGUGCAAAUGAGGUUGCUCCGAAUGAGGAUGAAGUGGCAGAAGAAGAAGCUUCGAAUAGAGGGGAGACGGAUGCGGUGAAGGUGGUGGCAGGUGCGGAGGAUAUGAAUGGGGAGGUGCAAGAGCCGGAACAGAAUAAGGAAGGAGGGUUGGAGAAAAAGAAAUGGAAGUGGAUUGGGCGGAAGAGGAAGAAAAGGAAAAGCCAGUGGUGGACGUGGUGGCAGGUGUGGAGGAUAUGAAUGAGGAUGUGGAAGAGCCGGAAAAGAAGAAGAAAUGAGGGUUGGAGAAAGAGAAAGGGGAAGUGGAUUGAGCGGAAGAGGAAGAGAAGGAGAAGCCGGUAGUAGACGUGGUGGCAGGUAUGGAGGAUAUGAAUGGGGAGGUGGAAGAGCCGGAACAAAAGAAGGAAGUAGGGUUGGAGAAAGAGAAAGGGGGGUGGAAAAGGAAGAGAAGGAGAAGCCGGUGGUGGACGUGGUGGCAGGUGCGGAAGAUAUGAAUGGGGAAGUGGAAGAGCCGACUGAGAAGGAAGGAGGGUUGGAGAAAGAGAAAUGGGAAGUGGAUUGGGCGGAAGAGGAAAAUGCCGAGGAUUCAAAUAAAAAGCUCGACAUUGUUUUCUCUCUUCUGCUGCUGCUGCUGCUCUAUGUUAUUGAGAGGUUUUUCAAAUUUUGGGGUUUUUGGUUAACACAUUUCAAAGCCUUCUCUUUUCAUUUUCUGGUUGUCAAUGGCUUCAUCCGCCUAAGUUUUCACAUUCUGGAGAUUUUGUUUCACUUUUACCAUUGUAAGACUAUAGAUCAUAGAUGCUGACAUGGUUGGACAGAUGUCGAAUAAUGGUGUCGUUGCGGCCCCCACCGUCAAAGAAAAAGCAGUCCCCAUGGGCAUUCAAGCUGAAAGAGAACUCAUAAUUGUAUAAAGGUUUUGCAUCACAUUCAUAACUCGAUCCGAAAACUUCACAUCUCAGAUUUUCGAUCUGUAACUUCCAAAGAUUUACAUUAUGCUUCUAAAAUAAUAUACUAAAAUAUUACCAUGAUUCGACAGUCGGAUCUUCGCCAAUCAAAAUUCAAGUGGCAGUCAACAUUUUAUUUUGCGAACUUACUAAUCCAAUUCAGGAAGAUUCAUACGUCAAAUUCCCAAUCCGUAAGUUUCUAUGGUCCUCAAAUAUUACGUACUAUAAUGUAUUAAAGUUUUGUGCCAAUCCAACCAUCAGAUCAUCGAUUGCUAUAAUGUUAAAGAGGCAUACCUUAGAGAAAUUAUACCCAAACGAUGGAAUUUCAUUAAUCGGAUGUCAAAUAUGGAAUCAAGGCAUCCAAAUUAGCCUAGUAAGGUCAGGUGGGGUAUUAGCCUAGCGCUGCCGCACACGGCAACUGACCACCCCAACUCGUCGGAAAAUUCAACUAAUUUCAAAAAUUCUCAAAUUUUACCAGAAUGAAGAUCUCAAUUAGUAGAGCAAGUUUUAUACCUAUGGCCACACCUUAAAUCGCCACAAACCUACCGGAACCCUAGAAAUGGGUGGGUUUCAAUUCACCCUCUCCGAUGCUUUGACGUGCCAACCAAAGCUUGGGACUUGUUCCUGGGUUCAAGAGGUGCUGAAAUAUGGUAGUGGUUGACGAAAGAGCUCGCAGAAAUAGCGGAUUCCACUGUCGUGGCUUCGGAACACCCACCAUAGGGUUUGAAUGGAAAAGGAAGAGAUGAGGCCGAAGUGAUGAAUGGUGGGGGUGGAUGGUCACGAUUCACCAGAAAAAUGGCUGAAAUCACGACGGAAAAGGUGCAAGAAGUCUGGUCAUGAACCCGGUAAAAAAGGAUAUGGUGCUCCUCCACUCAAUAGCAAUUAAAUUGCUACCUCGAAAUAUUGAUCAUUUAAAUACUUGAUUGCAAUACUUAUCUGUCAAUCAUGUAUUAUGCUUAAAAUCUCUAUAUAACAUCUCAAAUGGUGCCAAACCAAAAAUUGAAAUAGUAAUCGUAGUUACAUGCAACCUUAACAAAGAUGAGUGUCUAUUACAAUCAUGCUAAAACUAUAGAACGGAUAAAUGCAACAUGUUCACAAAUGUCUGGAUAGUUCAUUCGAACUAGUAGUUAAUCUGAGGGUGAAAUGUGGUAAUACAUAAUAACUUUGUAACCAUGGUUUUCAAGAAGACUCCCAAAACUUGGAAGUGAUACACGCAUCAUGAUGAGGUACAACAAUGACAUGCACAUUAGGCAUCCAAACAUUAUAAUUCAUAUAUGUCACAACAAGUAGAUUCAUUAUGAAAAUUUCUCUCGAAUUUAGUGAAACACUGUGUCGAGAAGGCUAAAAGAACAAUCAAGAAUUUGAGAAUUAAAAUAAGUCCAUCAAUCUAGAAUACAAAGUAACUAGAUUAAUGCAUAACAUCUCACUACAAUGGUAGCUUCUAGAAUAUUCAAUCACCAACGGUAACGAUUCGCUUAGCAGAGUUUGUUGAGUGAUUGAGAAAUUAAUGGUCACAACUGCAAUUCCAAUGUCAAUGGUUCUUCUAGACAGUUUAUCAACUUCAAAAUAAUGCGAAGUGCAAUAGGGUAGGUAGUACCCAAGGUUGACUGGAAUGCCUUCUAACACAAAAGGUGAAUAUGAAAUCACAAUCAAAGUAGAUGUUGAUCAAAAUGUCAGAAAAUCUGAAAAAUUCAAGAAUGAGUAAUUUUCUCAAGUGAUCAAAAUGUAUUCCCUAUGGACCAAUGGAAAGUAAGCUAACUUGUCAAGUCGGCGAUAAUCACCGAAACAUCAUUGUAAUAUCCACAUAUACAAGAUACCUCAUACCAGGAGCUUAUGGUGAUAUUUCUCAUCUCCAUUUGGAUAUAGAAAGUGAAUAUAACCACUCGAACGAUUUCUUGAUAAUUUGUAAGUAACGUCAACCCAAUGCUCAUGAAUUCCAACUAAAAUGAAAUAGGACAGACUAAAAGCAUUUCGGGAGUAGAUAAUGUCUUUUGAUGUGGCAAACAGUAAUUACGUUUCCACAACGAGGAUGAUACACGAUUGUGUAAUUGUAGAUGUUAAUUUGGUUCCUCUAUCACCAUUGUCAGAAAUCUAUUUCUUUCCAAAUGGAUAUGUACUUGCGAGGUCUAAGAUUGAUAGAGAUUUUGGACACGUUUCUCUAUAGAGAAGUGUCAUUCAGUUUUUAAGUAAGAUGGUAACUAUUGACUCUAAGUUAUGAAUAAGAUGGUUCAUUCCAAACGGUUCUACACGUUGGGAAAUAUAAGCGAUUCUCCGUCAUGCUGCCUCUGUACAGCCAAAACAUCCAAAGAACACAUCAUCAUGGAUUUUCAAAAUAAUUAUUAUCAUCGAAAGGUGUAAAACGAAGGUAAGAUGAGACAACAAUUUAGUUGUCAGAAACUUUAUUCAUAAUCAACAUCAUAACUAAAUUAACUUUCCUCGAUCGUAAAUGAGGAAAAAACACUACAGCCGAAGGAUCGCUAACAAAUUGUCGAUAAAAUCGACAUGACCAAAGAUAUCUCGAACGUCACUACACUUCGUGUGAAUUUCAACUUUCUUCCACUAAACCCUUUUUGGAAAAGAAAAGAUUAUCGUUUACGAAGAUCACGUCUCCCAAGAAAAGUACCAAUUUAAUCAAAGUUAAUAGUUGAGCACUUUGGUAUAAAGCUGACUAUUGAUAUUUAGAGAAUUUGGUCUCACUGUCAAGGUAGAUGAAAAAGUCAUCGAUAAGACCACUAUGAAUACGUUAGGCUAUGGGAGAAAACUCAGGUUACAAAGGUUGGUCAGCUCGACCAUCAACUCGAAAUAGGGGCUAACGGUUUUUGGUCGUCACGUGAUUGAGUCGCUAAAGUCUAGGUACAACCCUAAGGUUCAACCUUUCGCCUUUACGAAUAGGUUUGAGAUUCUCUAGAUAAAGUGUUUGGUUAGAUACAGGGUCGGGCGUGUCAGUUUGGUAUUAGAGCGUGGUUUGUUCAUAGCAUACUUAGGAUCUUCUAUUAUUGUAGUAGUGUGUCGAUCAUGACGUCAUUUGGAUGUCACGACUUCCUGAUUUGUUGUCUUUCGGCACAGUUAUGCAACCCUCAUUCUGCAUGAAUAGUCACAUCUUAUGGAAGAAAAAGAAAAUUCGUGUUGGGAUUUUGCCUCAGUGUUGACGAAAUGGAUUGUUGAACAACUUUCAACAUCGAACUGAUACUCUAUAGCAUGCGUUCCCUAAGAAUUGCGAGUAGAGUUGGUGUUUACAUUGAAGUGACUAUCUAAGCCGAAGAAACUAUCAUAGACACUUAAGAGCAAGUCUUGUAGAAUGACUGUAACCUCCUAGUUGUUUUAACCAUGUUUUCCACUUAGGUAACCAAAACCUCUUCGUCUAGCCACAUUUUCGAUCACUUCCACAAGUGGACAAUAGAAUCGAAGUACAAGUUAACUUCUCAUUAUUAGAGUGAAGUAGCGUAUCGAGAAAGCUACAAAGACUUAUUAGCACGUGUCUACCCUGGUGUUCGGUAGAUAUCAGGGUCGGGCGUGUCAGCGAGUAUCUUUGACAUAAUUCAAAGACGUAGUAACUAAAGUAUGCUUAAUAGACCUCCAAGAAAUUGUGGUUCCACCAACAAUACCCAUUUAGGAUCUUGCCAUGUACGGAUCGAAUAAGUACAUAGCGUCAACAUAACCAACAAAAGCAACUCGAAAACUAGGGGGAGGGGGGACGGUUGCACUCAAAGUUGAGUAAGGAUAGGACAAACACAAGUCCACAACACUAUUAAGAUAACAUAGAGUUUUUUUAACACAUUUCAAUGUCUGCAUGUUGGCACAUGAUUGUGUUAUGCUAAGAGAUUUAUAAUGCAGGAGAUGUUAGGUCUUGUACACUGAGAUAAGUACAACAAAGCACCAAUUGCACUUAAGUAUGGAACCUCAGGUUCUAAAACUUCUUCAUCAUCUAUCUUUGGACGGUAUAGGUCUUAUUGUGCAUCAAGCGUACAGAUGACAAUGAGAGUACUCAAAGUCCACGCUUUAUCAUUAAAGCAUUGUAACAUCGUCUUGGUGUAGUUUGACUAGUUGACCAUGACUAAUGGACCAUAAUGUUGGAUUGUGAACUACCUUAGUAUAUAUGUGCAGAAGUGUGGAGGUUGGCAUAAACAUAAAUAAUCAUUUUAACAUGCAUGUUUGCGAAAUGCUGGAUUCCAUUUAAUCAUAUUAAAUUAAUUUAUGUAUUGGUUAUGUUCAUGUAUAAUAAAAUUAAGAACACAUGUAUAAACUUAGAGUACGUUUUAGAAUUCUAACCUUUAGAUUUCAUAGGUGGACGAAUUCAAUGUUGUUGAGGCUACUAAGUGUUAGCCGUCUACUAGUAUCUACACAAAUAAAUCUUCGGCUAGUGAAGCAAGAAGACAACGAUCUGCUAGAACUUUAUCUAUUAGGUAGGUGCUGCGGCAGAGGUACAAUGCAUUGUUAUGAAGUUGGUCUAUAUUGUCACGCCUCGCCCCGAAAUAUAAAUAUAUUAAAUCUUCGGCUAGCGAAGCAAGAAGACGACGAUCUGCUAGAACUUUAUCUAUCAGGUAGGUGCUGCGGCAGAGUGACAAUGCAUUGUUAUGAAGUUGGUCUAUAUUGUCACGCCCCGCCCCAAAAUAUAAAUAUAUUUCGGGAAUUAAUUAUGGUAGGCCCAACUUAAAAACGUAGUUAAUUUAUUUCCUUUAACCACAUCCCUCUAAGUCAAUAUUACUUACUAUUACAAGCUAUCCAUAUUUUCUUAAAAUGUCAAACAUAUCUUUCAUUUAACAAUUGAAUUCACUAAUAUUAGUUGUCAUUCUCCAAAUAAUUCCCUUCGUCCCACGUAGAAUCUAUAACCAUUAUUCGUUUACCAAGAUAUACAAUUUACUUUCCAAUUUAGAACCAUUUCCUUCUCUUAGAUCAAAUUCCAUCUAAACACUAAUUCUCGAUUAUUUAGUCUCACUUAUUUAUGGCUGCAUCUAACGUCUUGUUAGACUGCCUACGUACCCUAAACAAAGAUCAAGCCAUUCGUAGUUCACAAAUUCAAAUUCAAUUAAACUUUGAUAUUUCUACACAUAAUUAACAAUCACCAACUAGCUUCAAAUAAGUGUAUCACAUUAAAUACUUAUUUAACUUGAAUCCAAAACAUCAAAUUUAGCUUAAAAUACGGCAUCGGUUCCCUAGCCAUGCGUCGUCGCCGUCCUGACUUGCCGAAAAAUUCAACUAUUUCUAAAAAUUCUCAAAAAUUACAAAAAUGAAGAUCUCAAAGAGUAGAGCAAACUUUAUACCUAUGGCCAAGCCCAAUUUGGCCGGGAAACACCUCAAAUUGGCCACGAACUGCCGAAAACUCUUGUUUUGGGUGUUCUUGAUUUGUCUCCAAAACAACUUCGACGCCUCAACCAAUGCAUGGGCUUUGUUCUAGGCCUCAAGAAGAGUAUGAGAGUAGUGGUAAUUGAAUGAAAUCACUUCAAAAUUUGGUGAAUUUUGACACCUACACCGUCGCACCCACCGGUGCGUUUUACCCCAUUUCAAGGUCAAAUUUCAUGAUUUUUGGGGGGUAACAGGGUUAGGGAAGGUCAUUGAGGGUUUUCCAAGUGGUAGUUUAAAUUGAUUUGCUGGAAAAUGGGCUAAAACUCACCAAAAAUAGCAAGGAAAACCGACCGAAUCGAGUCGGGUCCUUUCAGGUCAGGGAUCCCCCGUACCCCUUUUCUCUCAUUUUCCCCCCUUUCUCCUUUCUCCCAUUGGUCAACCUCCCCCUAUUCCUUCCUUCCUUUUCUCCUUUCUAUUCUUUUCUUUCAAUCUCAACCGUCCAUUUCUUUAUUUAUUUUCAUCUCAGCCACACACGUGGCACAACCAUUGGAUCAAAUUUUCUGGAGCCUUCUACCAUAAAAUGAAAUUAUUAAAAUAUCCUUAACUUUAAACGUUAAUAUCUUCUUUGUUAUAACUUCGUUUCAUGAACGGUUUGUGCCUACACAUUCAUGAGAUCGAGCUCUAUUCAAAAAUAUAAAUUGUCACUCUGAAUAGUUUUCGGAUUUUUAAAUAAUAAAUUCCCAAACUUAGAACUUCUUAACCAGUUUAAUUUAAAACUAAACUCGAAUAAAUUAAUAUAAUUUCUUGAAAAAUAAUCUAAAAUCUCAAUCAUACAAAUACAUAAAUUAUAAUAAUUUCCGAAAAUAAAACUUUAAAAUUUUCCAAUUCUACUUUCAUAACCAUAAAUCGAUUUAUUUUCAAUUUUCUCCACAUAUUCAUAUAUUUAAAAUUUCAGGGUAUUACAUAUAUUGUAUUGGAAAAUAAACAACAAGAAAGUUCAGAUGCCAUACCCUUUAAUAGCCAUAACAAGUGUUGAAGUUGUCGAAGUUGUAGUUUUACUAGAACUGUUUGUUGUCGUUUCAGGUACAAUGUAAGGAAUAUUUCGUCAAAACUAGGUUUAUGGAUAAAAAAUAAAAAAAAACAUACCAACUCAAGCAGUAAGGAUAAACAACUAAAUUAUUCUAAACAAGUGAACUCCAAAUGUAAUGACCUGUCUCAAAAUUUUAUAAAUUUCAGAACGACAAGGGUAAAUUGGUAUUUUCACAUGUGAGAGAUAUUUGCAUGUUUGUCUCUUAUGACUUGUUUGGUGCGCCAAUGAGGCCCACCGCUUUUAUUUGGGGACUAGGAUUAUCUCUUCUGACACACCCUGACCCAAAAUAUCGAGAUGUGCUGGCAGUCACGUGAGGAUGACGUAGCCAUGCGCGUUGUGCGGAAGAAUUAAAGUGAAAGACAGUGAGGAAACGAAAAGUAAACCGAAUAAUUUACAUCAAAAGAUAAGUGAGUAAAAGUGAUGAAAAGGAAAGCAUAAAGCACCACAUCAAAGUUCAAGUAACCUAGGUGCAGUCCGGAAUAAACAAGUACUGAAUAAACGUUAACCAAAUAAAUCCUACAUGGAUGAUGCCUUGUUAAAACUGUCUCGAUGCCUCGCUCGCCACCAACGUCGCAACUACCUAAAACUUGGAGCGGCGCAAAACUGAAAACAUGAGUGGGUAAAAACAAAGUUUUUCCAAAACCGUUUCAAUAUCAAAAUAGUAACCCCUCUCCCUAUACUUUCUCAGAAAAUAUCAUCCAUACUCAAAUAUCAAUCAUGCUGGAAAACGAUAAAUCUCAAAUAUGCCAUGUUAGAAUACGACAUGUCGAAUUACCCAAUCAAAACAAAAUAAGUAUCAAGUAGGUGAGAUAAAUCAAAUCAUAAUAUGCCGCCAAUCUCAAUACGUCAGUUGGAGUCACCUAACGUGAACUGUACGACUGAAUAUAUAGCUCCUCAAUCACUAUCUUGCACACGAGUCGGAACCACCUAUAGUGGUCUGUACGACAGGCUGGGUGUAUAAUUACGCUCAGUGCUACGAUCACGUGAAGGCUGUGCAACGUAUCACAAGUCACCUAUGAGUCGGAACCACCUAUAGUGGUCUGUACGACAGGCUGGCACCUGCCUUGGGUCCAAGGUGAGCGUACGGUGCGGGAGGUGAACGAUCACGUGAAGGCUAUGCCGUACUCUGGCAGAGCACAAACACCGGGGUGCAGGAAUAUGAGCUAUAUCUCAAUCUCAUCAUCAUCACAACUAUCACUAACAAGUAUACUCACCUGACUUACCUGAGCGACGCCAAUUCAUAACCAACAUAAAUCAUAAUAAACAAUAAUGAUAUUCGACAUGGCAUUUCAAUUAUAAAACCAUUUUAAAACAUAAUAUCUGGGAAAAUAUCAAAUAUAUAUAUAUAUAUUCUGAAAACAAAAGCCCACUCACUGAUAAGUAGAAGGGUCUUAGCCCCCGAGCCUGGCAUGGCUGUGCUCGUCUUCUGGAUAAGCCUUACCUAUAUGUGAAACAACUAUAAAACCGUCAAUUAAACGCACAUAACCAACCUUAGGUAAUAACUUCUCAUACAUUGCUCAAUUGGAGGUGUUUGAAUCUAACAACAUGCUUUACUUAAUCUCAGAACACCCUCAUAUUUUUAGAAAAAAUUUCUUGUCACCCACGCGUAGGCACGUGCCUGGCACACGGACGGAACAGUUAAUGCCGUAAGGAAUAUUUUGUUAAAAAGUAACAGAUUCCAUUAAAUCUAACCUGACACUGUUAGAAUAUUCCAUCAAACUUGACGGAAUAUUCAUCGUCUCCUUCCUUGAGUCACGGGAGUCCGGCGCCGGUCGCCGUCUGUUUGCGGGUUUCUGGAAAAUUUUCAAAUGUUGAUAUCUCAGUCAAAUCUUAACUAAAUUUCACGAAAUUAACGUCAAAAUGAAGCUUAGGACAAGGGGAAGAAAUCUAUACCAAUUUGAGGUCCCAACGAUGCUGGAAUCUCGCCAGAGAAAUCUCGAAAAAUCUGAUCAACUAUAGAACUCAAGAUUUCGACAUCCAAAACACGUCAACGUUGCUCCCCAAGCUUCGUGAAGACGUCUAGAAACUCCCUGUGAUCUUAGAAUCUCUAAAAACCUCCUCAAUCACGAGUGCAUGAACAAUACCUUUAUUGGAGCUUUCAGGUUUCAAGGGUUUUCAAGGUUUUCAGGACAAACCAAGGGUAUAGUUGAACUUGCAAGGGUGCAAGGAGAAGCAUGUAUAUCCGUACUUAGGGUAUGGAAAAUAGAAGAAAAAUCGAGAAGGAGGGAGAGACAGAACCAGAAACAGAAAAGGAAGAAAAAGGGGUGCACGUGUGCAUGUGUGUGUAUAAGUUUAACCAAUCACACCAAAACUAAGCUCAAGUUCUAAUUGGGUCCAAUAAUUUGGGAUAUCACCCUAUUGGCCCAAUGUAGCUCACACACAUAACCACAAACACGUAAGGGUAAAAACGUCAAUUCAUGCCGUCGAUAAAAUUAUUUCGGGACGGUCUGUCACAUCCUCUCUUUUUUCACCCCCUUCUUUAAUAUUCUUUAUUUUGUAUUUUUUUAUAUAAAUAAAAUAUUAAUAUAAAAUGUAAUCAUGAUCUAUUUGAACGGAAAUUGGAUGGAAAAAAAAAAGAUGAGAGACUUCUCAUUUAUUUGGUCUCCUGGUCCUCCCUCUCUCUUCCUUUUCCCCGUCACUCUCCUCUCAUCUUGGACUAUCACACUCUCUAACUCUCCCGGCCCUCAUCUCUCUCGCACGACCCUCAUCCUCCUUCAAAACCCAAAAAACUGGCGAUUCCACGGAACUGAAACCAAGCUGAAGUCCCCAUCCUUCUCUGUUCCCCCAUCAUCACUGUUCUCUCCUCCCUCGGAACCCUGCAACAUCACCAUCGCGGCAGAGCCGCCUUCUCCGGCGAGUUCGUCGAUUUCCCGACUUGGGGUAAGCCUCGGGAUGCUUAAGAUCUUCAACUGUUACUUAUCUUUUUGUCCUAUUUGCUGCUAAUGAUUUGUAGCAAGAGUUGAUUUUUAACUGUUUCUAAUUGGUAAUGGAUUAAAGGAAGUUCAUUUACUAUUAGAGGUGCAUGUGAAAGUAAGCUUGAUUCGUAACCUCGUCGAGCAUUUGGAGCUCGCUUUGACUGAGGUUUUUCGAUUUGAUGUGAUGGCGUAUAAGCUUUUCUCAGUUUCUCGGUCAUUUUAAGGGUGACCAAGAUUAUCUCUGUGAGCAAUGUUGAGGUUAGGGAUUGGAAGUAAAUGAAAAGGGGUGUCUUUUCAUCAAAGGCUGAGGCCAAGAUUAUCUUUUGAGAAAACUUUGAGGCCUUACCUAGAUUGCAAGUCUCUGUUAAGUUCCAAUUGACGAAGAUGUUUAAAACUGUUGAAAUUAUACUGCCUUAAUUGAAAGGAGGCCUUACCUAGGAUAAUAUCUAGCUCAUUCGGGGUCUUUUUUUGGUUCUUUAACUACAUGAAAUUUGCAUUGAGAUGAAUUCUUAUCCUGAAUGAGUACAUGUGAGAAUCACGCGUGAUUGACGGAAAAUUAUGAAAUAAGAUAAUGAAUUCCGAAGGCUGGGUGCUCAGCUGGAGAUGCGGAUAAACAAAGAAUUAUAUGUUGAUUUGAAAAGGAAGACGUUUAUAUUGUUGAUUGGAGUAUAUAUGGCCGAUGAGAAUAUGCUAAACCGAUAGUUGCUCCUUGUAGGUUGCGGGGGAAGUGGUAACAUUAUGUGUUCAGAAUGUGGUGGCCGCGGGUAUCUAAGAUGACCAUACCGGUUCGCUUAUCUUCCUUGAAUUUGUUGUAUGUGCAAGUAACUUGUGUUAUAGCCAUGACGCUUUCCCUAAUUUUUUGUGGCUGAUUCCACGAUGAGUUAAGUGUAACAGUAAUGCAUCUGAUUCAUUUACUCUUCGAAAUGGUGUUCUUCCUCAGAUUUAUGUGCCAUUUAUCGUGUUGAAUGUUCAGAACCAUACAAUUACCACAUAACAAACACAAAGGAAACGAAAAAACUUGAAACAAAAGUUGACAAACAAACAACCAACGACAUAAGAAAACAGACUGCAUACUUUUAUUUAGACCAUUUUUAGUACCCUCAAAACUAAUUGGCAAGUUAGUUAAUCCCCAUGAGUGACAAUGCUGUCCAUAUUCUUGGCAACUACCUCCUUAGAAUCCCUCAGUUUUCUUAUGCUUUUGUUAAGCUUCUCACGCUUUACUGCCACUGCCGGGGACUCCUCCAACAUCCUCUCAAUUCCCCCACCGUAUGGUCCCAUCAACUCAUUCACAAUCUCAGCUUCCAUCUCUUUGUUCACAAGGUUGAAAACAGACAGCUGCAAGUGCAAUGCCAUGGAGUCCACAAGCCUCCUCAAAACAACCUUCCAAUAGGCAAUCAUUCUCAUUUUAAGGUCAUAAGCUUGAGCUAAAACAUGCGGGUACUUCCUCAGAACACCGACUUCGACUUCCCCGAUGCCUUCUAUAGCUAUGACAGACGGUUUCUUCCCAUCAGUUAAGACUCCUUGAAUGAAUUCGUUUUGACUAGCCAUCAACUUGUUCCAUUCGGAAACAUAAUCAGCAUCGCAUGUAUAAUCUGUCACCUUUUCCAUCUCUACAAGCUCCAGCAUCCACUUGAUUGACCUUUCCUUCAUCUUGGCCAUUAGAUUAUGGCCGGCACGCCUUGCUGACAGCUGCAGCUGAUAAUAGUUCUCCGAAUUACGCAUCAAGACAGAAAUAACCGCCUCUUCAAUGUAGAUCCACACUCGUUCCACAAAUGCAAUCGGAAUACUUGAAAUUCCAUUCACUUUUCUCUGCAAGAUAAUGUGGAAAGCAUUGCGCGGAAGAAAGUUCGGAAGUGAAAUACCUUUGUUCUCCUCCAAGAUCUUGAUUUCCUCCAUCAAGAAGUUGCUCUUUGCAUCACUUUCAGGACAUCUGUGAAGUUCAUCCGAGUACUGGUUGAGCAUCUCAACCAAUCUAGCAGUGCAGUGCAUGCGGUUGUCUUCCGCGUACUCCUCAAAUUCUCCUCUCAAAAGGAUCUUCCUAAGCGAUUCCUUAGCCAAGCCAAUGAUUUGCAUAAAGGCCGUCAUGGCCUCAGCAACAGACGAAAGACUCUUGGGCAUUUUAUUCAGUUCCAUAAUGCAAAAAUUCAGCCUGUCAUUGAUCUUCUUCACUAUAUCGGGUAAAUUUUUUGCCAUGCUGUUUGGGCAUUUUAUUCAGUAGUCAAGGUAACGUUCUGCUAUGGUUAACCACCCGUAAGGGUCCUCGCCAUUAAAUCAUGGCAGUUCCAUUUUAAUAGCUUUAAAAUGUGAAUGAGGGUUCUAGGGAGGUGGGUUGGGUAAUAUGGGAAGGGAGGGUGGUGAGGAGUUGGGUGCCGUGGAGGGACUUAAGUGGAAGGAUUGUGAGUGUGAUAAAUGGUAGGGUUGGGGCUGUAGCGGUGGGAAUGGGGGUGGGUGAAGUGGUGGUGGUGUAAGUGGAAAAUGGGGCUAAGCUCGGGGAGAGUGGGUAGGAAAUGCCCAGACUUGAGGAUUGAGCACUGAAAGGCACAAAAAUUAAACGAAAUCAAGGGGAUGGGUUAAGGUUAGAGGGACGAGGACCGAGAAAUGAAGUGGUCUGGUGUUGAGGUUGAAUGGGGGUUGAAGAGGGGUUGGGUGUGUGGUGGGUGGCGGUGUGGGUGGAGGUUUGGGAGGGUGGAGGCCCCGAUUUGAGGAUUCGAAGUUCGCCAAGCAUUAGGGAUUGAAAAGCUGCAAACUGUGAGGUUAUAUUGUUUUGAAAAGCUGUGUUGGAGGUGUUCAAGGUUUCGAGAGAUUUCUGGAGGUGGGUUUGUUGUGUUUCCAGGGCGAAGAUUGAGUCACACAAGUCAUCAACUUGAGUUCGCAGGUAUUUUUGACGAACAUCAACCGCAACAGUGACGGCGUCUGGAUCAGAGGUGGCGGACUGCAUGUUUUUGCCCAUUAAAUCGACGGGCUCUGAUACCAAUUGGUAUGCCCAAUCGGUUCAGGUUGGCUGAAAAUGGCAACUUUAAUACAAAAUAGUGCAGGAAUUUAAAAGAAGAAAGGGAAAGAAGAGUUUGAGAAAAAAGAGGCAACUUUAAUUCAUCAUUUCAUAGGUUCUUUCUACUCUCCUUUGUUACAAAUUUAUACUCCUCAUAAAAGGAAAAAACCCUAGCUACUUGGACGUAAGGAAAGAAGGCUGGUACGGCCCGGUUACAAGAGGAGAAGUAGUGGACUCAAGUAAAUGGGCUUAACAUGGUGUCGUUGGGGCCCCACCAUCAAAGAAAAAGCAGUUCCAUGGGCAUCCAAGAGGAAAGAGAACCCACAAUAGUAUAAAGAUUUUGCGUCACACUCAUCGCUUCGGCAUCAAUCCUUUUCCCUCCUUGCCGAUGUUCUUUAUAUUUUACUUUCUUUCUUCAUAAGUUGUUUGUAGAUGACAUGUUCUGAGAAUCUCUUGGGUGUCGUAUGCGUGCUACAAUACUCGUUUGUGUCAAAACACACAUAAACAUUAUUCUUUCCGUUGAGAUUUAAAAUUAAAAGUCUAUAGACACUUUUUGGUGAACUCGAAUUAAGGAAUUCUCAUUUUAUGUGUUAAGUUUUAUGCGGAUGAGUUAAGUGAUACAAAUUCAAAAAUUACUCUACAUUUUAAGCUGUUGUUUUUUUUUAACAUUUAUAAGCACAUAUAACUGAACUAGGACGCCACACAACAAUAAACCAAUUUUGUAUAAAUCAUUGUUACUUGGAGAUUAAGAUUAUGGCACCAUGAAAUAUUAAAUAGUUUUGCAAGAAAAAAAAGAACGUGGGAAAGAUGACAGGGCUAAAACAAUUGAGACUACAAUUUAGGACGCAUUGUACCACAUCUUUAAAAAAAGGUGGAAUUUUCUUAUAUUAGUGAACCCUACUUUUAUUAAAUAGUUUUCAAUGUAAUUUAGUAAAGUAUAGCCUCUCUAGCAUGAUAAGCCUAUGAGUAAUUAGCAUUUGUAGACAUCAAAUGCUAAUGAGAAAAAAAAAAAUCUAAUUUCAUCCUAUCCACCUCUAUUAUAACAUUUAUGUUUCAAUGCAUAUACUAAUGAUCAAAAUUCAAAUUUCAAUUGUAGAACUGAACAAAAUUAAAUAUUGGUAACAAAGCAAUAACAUCUGAGCUGUGAAAGCAAAGAGAAAAGUACCACGAUAUAAGAACUUGCGUCACAAUCAAAGCUUCAACAUCAAUCUGUCCCUCCUUGCCAAUGUGCUUUACAUUUUUUUUUUUACUUUCUUCAAAUUUGUUUGUAGAUCACAUUCUUUGAGAAAAUUUUUAGUUCACUAGUUUUGUCACGUCACUUGUUCUUUUAAAAAAAAAAAGAUUCUUUCGCAUCAUCAGUUCAUCACACUACAAUCAUGACUUUAUUGGAUGGAUAACAAUAACAAAAACAAAGUCUUAUUCUAAUAAGUGAGGUCGGCUAUAUAAAAUGUCACUGCAUUCAGUUUUGCUUCAUGUUCAUUAGAUGAAUAAUACAAUUUUUUCAAUACAUGACCAACUUUACAAAUAUUUUUGGGAAGUAACAUUUACACAAAUUAUUUAGCUUCUUUUUUUUUUUUUUGACAAUUGUGUGAGAAACUAAAAAAAGUGAAAAUAAAAUCUACGACGCUAUUGGAACUAAUUUUUUAUUACAUAAAAAAGUCCCUCUGCCUAGUAAAAGGAGGAGAAUGUGACAUGAUUGCUUUUAUUCAAUCCACAUUCUCCCCCACUUGACCAUUUCAUGAGAAAGGAUCAUCCUCAAAUUCCUUCCAUCAAAUUCUUCCAAUUAACAAAUCUGGACCCUAAAAAUUUAAUUUAACGAUUAAAGUUAGUAUAACUUUUUAAAGAGAUCUCAUGUUUUUAACCGUUUGAUCAAAUUUUAAAUGCUUAAAUUUGUUGAUUGGUUAGAUUUGGUAAAAGGGAUUCGGAGAGGAUCCCUUCCCAUUUCAUAAGUUGUCUAAAUGCUUUUGAUUCCUUUUUCAAAUUGAUGCUAGGCCCAAGAAACAAAGCAACACUAGACUAGACUAAAAACAACUGCCGUACGUUUGCCAAAAAAAACUAAUAACAACUGCCGUACAAAAGCAAGAUAAAAAGAGAUACAAGGGAGAACAUUCUCCCCCACUUGACCAUUUCAUCAACAAUGUUGUCUAAAUGCUUUUUAUUCCUUUUUCAAUUUGAUGCUAGGCCCAAGAAACAAGGCAACACUAGACUAAAAACAAUUGCCGUACAAAAGCAAGAUAAAAAGGCAUACAAAGGAGAACAUAUAUAUAUAUAUGUGUGUGUGUGUGGGUAUGUAUAGAUCAGUUAAAAUGAUAACCUUUCUUAGAUAGAACUGAGCAUAUAAACCAGCAAAGGUAAUAUUAGGGAAAUCAAAAUUUUCAACCAAAUGAUGUGUCAUUAAUAGGAAAUAAGCACGUUAAUCAACACAAAAAUAAUAAUUCAAUCAUCAACAACCACAUCAUUUGGUUUGCAAAUUUGGUUUAAAAAAUUUAGUCUCUCUAGAAUUAUCCAACCGGCAAACAAGUUUAAUUAUCUUAGACAAGUAACACUAUUUACGUAUUUAUUUUCAGGCAAUUACAACUUUGACAUCAAAAAGAAGAUUUAAGGAAGAUGAUUUUCUUAUCAGUUAGAAUUUCUACAAUGCGUGUCUCAUUAUUUACCUAAAUAAAUUUUUAUGUCUGUCAAAUUGGUCAUGAAAGCUCACUAUCAUAUUAAUAAGCGGUAAUGAAAGCAGAUAACAUGAGACAAAAAAUAGGAGUUAACUGUAUGUAGGAGGAAAUCGCAUUUAAAUUUCAUUAAAAACAUUAAACUUGACAUGGAUUACCACAACCAUACGACUACGGACCAUCACACAACAAGAACACAAAGGGAACAAAAGAACUUAAAAACAAAAGUUGACAAACAAACAACCACCCACAUCAGACAACAGAAAGCUAAUUGCCAAGUUAGUUAAUCACCAUAAGUGAUAAUGCUGUCCAUAAUCUUGGCCACCACCUCCUUCGAAUCCCUCAGUUUUUUUAUGCUUUUGUUAAGCUUCUCACGCUUUACUGCCACUGCCGGCGACUCCUCCAACAUCCUCUCAAUUCCCCCACCGUAUGGUCCCAUCAACUCAUUCACAAUCUCAGCUUCCAUCUCUUUGUUCACAAGGUUGAAAACAGACCGCUGCAAGUGCAAUGCCAUGUAGUCCACAAGCCUCCUCAAAACAACCUUCCAAUAGGCAAUCAUUCUCAUUUUAAGGUCAUAAGCUUGAGCUAACACAUGCGGGAACUUCCCCAGAACACCGACUUCAACUUCCCCGAUGCCUUCUAUAGUUAUGAUAGAAG
rnacentral:lncRNA from 1 species